UGCAGCCUUGUCAAAUUCGGUGCAACCCCCUCAGUGGGCUACACCGGCCAAAAUGGCUGCUACAGUGACUUGGUAGUCCAUGGGCCCCAUUUUCUGGUACAGUAGAUAUGUGGGGAUAAUUGGGCUAUGUACAAGC